rnacentral:lncRNA from 10 species
CCUUGGGUCAGGAUUUGGGUUAGCCCUUAAAAUCCCUGGGCAGGAUAAGGAUUAAAAUCUGGUGGGGAAAGCAAGAAUUAGGAUUAGGGUCAGGAUUGGGGUCGUCUCCUACAUAUGCUGACUGCAGCCCACCACACUUCAAGGAACUUCUUGUCACGGCUUUCAUAGCUGGAUCUGCUGCUGCCCCCAGCUGCCUGGUCCUCCCUUCCAGGAAGAACCUGAGGCCAGGGCAGCUCCCAGCAGGGACAGAGCCUGGCCUGGAGGCCAGGCCUCAGUGGCUUUCUCCUUCACCUGCAAAUAGCAGAGCUGGAAGCGGGUGGUGGUACAUGUACCCAGGCUGGGUCCCCUAGAGACAAGCAACCCCUGAGGGCCAGGUCGCCACUCCCAGGCAAGCAAGCUCACGGGUUCAGCAACUGCAGCUCCCGCCUCUUGCCCAGCACUGGCUCUGCCACCUUGGUGCCUCAUCGCAACCUGGAUGGCUCCGGGCCUGUUUCCAAAUGGACUCUAUGGAGACUAAGACACCUGUGAAGUGGGCAGAAGGGGGCCUGGCACACAGUAGGUGCCACCUAAGUGCAGCCAGCCACUAUACCUGCCGUUGCUUUCUCUGCUUCUCUGGGACUUGAGAGGUGAAGUACCUUGCCCAGAGUCAAAACGGGAGUUGUCUCCCAGGUUCCUGGCACGGGGCUCUUGGAGUCGAACGAGUGCCCGUCAGUGGGUUUGACGUGCAGGCAGUGGGCAGGGAAGGCUGAGGGGGUGGAUGGUUUGGAAAGACAUCUAAGGUAUCCCUCAGUCUCUGUCUGCAUAAAGGCGGCAAGACAGUAGCUACCACCUGGGAUUGUAGAGAAGAUUAAAUAGUUUGUGAAAUGCUUGACCCAGGGCCAAACAUUAGGAAACAUCAUUUGAGGGUUAAUUGAACAAAAUACAGUGUGGGUAGGUAUCACGUGUUUGCUGGGUCAAGAUGUAGAAGGUACUUCUUCCUGGGGUCAAGAUUUAAAAGGGUUGGAAACCGCUGCCUUCAAAUUCACAAUCCAGGACCCACGAAUUCAAAAUUCCCCUCGGACUUUGCAAUCCUUGGAGUGCCUCUUAAUUUAGUGUAACCUUACAGUCAGUCAGGGACAGGGUAACCCUCCGGGUUUCAGCACCGCGAGUCUGCUGUGCUCUGUCUGUGAGGAGGUCUUCACUGGGUCACAGCAAAGAAAAACACACAGCAGUAGUGCUGGACGUGGUCGCCAGAGCCCCUCGCGCAGACAAGCCGGGACGCGGCCCCCCUGCCAGAGCCCCUCGUGCAGACAACCCGGAACGCACAGCCCCUCCCACCAUCUCAGUCUGUGCGUUCGUUCACUGUCCCCGUCUCCUCCCACGAGCUCCAGGAAAGUGGGAGCUGGCACACAGUGGGUGCGCAAGCCGUGCUUACUGGGAUGCCCAGAGCCUGAGGUCACCAGGGAGCUGACAGCUGCAGGGAGCUCUCCCUGGGUCACAGCAAGGCAAGACACACAAGCAACAGCGGAGGGCAACAGUGCGUUCUCAAAGGGAGAGCUGGUUUCCGCCUGCUUCUCGUACAAAACGAGGGGCAGAGAUGGCAGGGGCCACCCCGCGAAACACUCGAUUAAAUCCCCGUUCACAAACCUUCCUGAUGCCUGGCAGCCCUAUCCCUGCCCCCGAAACCAGCAUCUGGUGAAGGCAAGGAGAGGCACCUGGAAGACCUCAAAUCUUUGCAGGUCUGCAAAGCCACUGAGCACCCACAGACCCCAAGGACCUGGUUCCGACUCAAGGAAGAACAAGGACGGUGGUGGCGGAGGGGCUCCAGAGAACUCGUAAUGCCUCUGGUGAGGCCACCGCCGUCCUGCAUCUCUUGAUGUGACUGGUGACAGCCCACCAGGGCGGGGAACCGGUUCACCUCCCAAGUGCUCACCGGGGGCCGCGCUUUCGACUCUCCCUGCACAGGCCGUGGGUCGUGGCUCCGGGUGAGUGGAAACAUUUGCCCCGCAGCGACCACCGCCCCUCCCUCCCCGACCUCGAGCCACAGGACCAGGGGACGGGGCUGGGCUGCGCUCUGGGCCCCGCGAUGCCUCCGGGAGGCACGGCCGCCCUCUGCUGGACACGCCGAGGAGGCGCUCCACGCCAGGGUCUCAACAUCCUCCUGAGAACAGCCCAGCAAUGGGGCAAAUAAACAUCAAGGACCCCCUAGCUGAGUCCUGAUACCUGUGAAACAAACAGGACACCCCGUUACAUUUGAAUCCCAGAAGAGCAACAAACCGGUUUUCAGUAUGUGUCCCGAAUACUGCAUGGGACAUACUUACACAUUCGUUUAUCUGUAAUCCGAGCCCAACUGGGCAUCCUGUAUUUUAUCUGGCCAUCCUACCCAGGAACUACAAACCGAGAAAACAAGGACCAUCAGGGAGAGAGAAACAGCUGGGUCAGAAAUUGUCUCAGGAGGGCUGAUCUCCAGGCAGGCCCCUGGCUAACGCCUGCUUCCUGGCACGGCCAUGGACUCUGUCCAGAACAGAUUUCCAUAUUUGGUUAGCAGGUAGGAAGGAGGUCAUCAAAGACCUUCACUUCACUGUAAAAGGAAAGCAUUAAAUAAACGAACACAAAUGACUUUUAUUUAUGGCUGCCGAAAAGCUGAGGACAGUAAGUUUGUUCUAGAGAGGUAUGAGCUCCCCUGAGGUUAGUCAAGACCAAGUCUGGUGGAGGCCUCAUUAGUCCUAGGAGCCUGGUGUCAGACAAAUCCGGAAGAGCCCCAAGGCACAGCGGGCCCUCCAGGUCCUCCUGCCUGGGUCUGGGCUGCAGGAAGGGCAGGAUUCCACCACCCCACAGCUAACCCAGAGGCAAAGCUACGCUACACAAGCGGUGAGCAGGCCAGCCCAGCUCCUCGAGACCAGCACAUCAACCCAGCUGCUGACAGGAGAGGGGCAAGCCCUUCCUGAGGCAAAACAGUAUCCCCUCUGCUCCUUAACUGUCUUACCCACAUCUAGUGCACCCUCAGAAACACAAGACACCAUGGACAAGAACAGAAUAUUAGUCAACAAUGGCAUCCCAGGGUCUCUCCCAGCUCCAACCUAUCUUAGAUAUUCCAGUCAAAUCCAAUCUCCCUAAAGCGUGACUCUACUUCAGCUAAAAAACACACUAAGGCUCCCCACUGCCUUCCCAGUUUCAGAUUUCUUGGCCUAAGAGGGAAGUUGUUCCUGCACUGCCCUCCUGACCUCUGUGCUCACCCCACACAAAUGGGACGCUCAUGCCUCUGGGUGGCUGCGCCCGGCCUGCCCAUGUGCUCCUCCCUCUUACUAUUCCUUCUCCAUGGGGCCUGCCCUGCUACCGAAGGGGAACAAGGGACCCUGGCCUGGCCAACCAGGAAACCCCUUCUGCUCGGCAGUUCCUGAUUCAGUUAUGGGCACGAGACCCAAGAACAAAUUUUACCCAGGAGUUUUGUUAGAACAGUUGGGCAAGAUACAGGCUUCCCACAGAAAUCACAGAUGUAAGGUUGUGUGCCUGGAGCUUCUGGUGCCAUCUCAGUCGCCACAAAGGGCGCUGCCCCUGAGAAGAAGGUCAGUUCGGGCAGCAGAGAAAUAGAAGCACCGAAACAUCAUAAUGUGGAUGGUGACUCCUGAUUCCUGUUUCUGGAGGCCCUGGCAUCCCCGGACUGGGUCUUAAGAGUAUAACUUUCGGGCUGGGCACAGCGGCUCACGCCUGUCAUCCCAGCACUUUGGGAGGCCGAGGAGGGCAGAUCACAA